CAUCUCUGCCCACGUUCUCCUAAAAAAAAUCUUCCACGUCUUCCUCAAAAAUAAACCACCGUAACCUGUAACUCUCACGUCCUUCGCUGCAUUCCCUACCCUUUCUCCAAAAUUAAAGAUCGAGAUUAUCAAAUAGCGGAACCCUCGAAAAAGCGAUUGACUCCUCUGGAAGCGAACCCCGACGUCAUGAAUCAGUUCAUUUGGGGCCUCGGAGUUCCUUAAAACCGAGUGGAGUUCAACGACAUCGAGCUCUCAUCCAAAAUCCCCAUAAGUUUUUUUCUUAUUUUCGACGAAUUCAUAUCUAUUUUAAGAAUUUGCUCUGCCUUUGUUUGAUGUUUACAGCACAAAGUAUGUUCUCACUCACGAUUGCCUCUUCGCCCUCUCAAUUUCCAGCCACUACGAUGUCGUGCUCUCAUCCAAAAUCCCCCACAAACUAUGUUCUCACUCUCGCGAUUGCCUCUUCGCUCUCUCAAUUUCCAGCCACUACGACAUCGAGCUCUCAUCCAAAAUCCCCCACAAAGUAUGUUCUCACUCUCGCGAUUGCCUCUUCGCCCUCUCAAUUUUCAGCCACUACGACGUUGAGCUCUCAUCCAAAAUCCCCUGAUGCUAGAAAUUCUCGCUUGCGCCGCUUCUCUUCAUUCAGUGAAAGAGCGGUUUCCUUGGGACAAGCUUCGGUAUCAUCUUCGAUCCAGCACGAGAGCAAAGGCGGCAGCAAUCGAUGAUUCAUCUGAAUCUUCCGCAGUUUGAAGAAGCUCGACAAAAUUAUGAAAGAGCACAAGAAUCCAAAAGCUCUCAGUGAGGGAAUUCUAUGGAUGGUCUCUGCAGUAGAUGAUUUUGGUGUUUCCCAUUUAAAGUUAAAGGUUAUAGCAGAAAGGAUGUCUGAGGAAGAGACAGGGGGCCUAAACUGUUCAAAAUGUUCGACACAGACAAUACUGGGAUAGUAACAUAUGAUGAGCUAAAGGAGGGUUUGAAAAAAUUAGGCUCGGAUCUGAUCUAUUCUGAAAUCCAGGCUCUUAUGGAUGCGUGUACAUGUUGAUAUGGACAAUAAUGGAACACUAGACCGUAAUGAAUUUCUUGCUGCGACACUUCACCUGAAUAAGUUAGAGAAAGAGGAGAACUUGAGGAAUGCUUUCUCCUUCUUUGACAAAGACGGGAAUGGCUACAUCACCAUCAAUGAUCUCUCACAAGCGUGUACAUAUUUGGGCAUCAGCAAUGUCAAUCUUGAUGAAAUGAUCCAAGAGAUAAACCAAAACAAUGAUGGGCAGACAGAUUAUAGUCAGUUUGCAUCUAUGAUGAGAAAAUUAAUGCAGGAAAUGAUGUCUUGAGAGAUGCACAACAUUAAACAGCUCGGAGAAAACAUUGUACAAAAAGGAAUUCAGAAUGUUGUAUGGGGACUUCAAGGAAACCUGCUGCUAGCGUUUUGAGUUACUGUGGAGCAAAGUUUUGGGUGAGGUGCUAUACGUAUCUCCUAUUUAGUGGCUAAAGACAGAAACUGCAUGAUGUACAGAAUACUGUCAUGACAAUGAUUUAGACAUAUCUCCUAUUUUCAGUUUGCAAGCGUAAAUUGGUCUUUAAGAUGUAGGAAUGAUUUAGUAUUUGAAUAAAACUUUAGAUAAAUUAGUUGA